rnacentral:lncRNA from 1 species
GCUUUUAUCAUUGCUGGGCUCCAUACUUUACUACUGGGCCCACUCCAGGGCUGAUACUGGAGGCUGGGAAAAGCAUAGGAGCGAAGGCCUUGGCAUGACGCAGCAGCAACAAAACAACGAAUUUGGGAAGCUGUAAUUUUGUUUUAAGAUUAGGAUAACACCACAGUUUUGGUGACAUCAAAUACCAUAUGGGCCUUGUUAAGCUAUGCUGCUGGAUGGAUACCUUUAUGUUGAGAAGCUGUAAUUUUGUUUUAUGAUAAAGGGGAAUCCCGCAGUUUCAGUGACAUCAAAUAUUAUAUGGGUCUUGUUAAGCUAUG